AGAGUUUGAUCAUGGCUCAGGAUGAACGCUAGCGGCAGGCCUAAUACAUGCAAGUCGAACGGGGCAGCAAUGCCUAGUGGCGCACGGGUGCGUAACGCGUAUGCAACCUACCUUUCAGUGGGGGAUAGCCCGGGGAAACCCGGAUUAAUACCGCAUAAUAUAGUUUUCUGGCAUCAGGAGAUUAUUAAACAUUUAUGGCUGAAAGAUGGGCAUGCGUUAGAUUAGCUAGUUGGCGAGGUAGUAGCUCACCAAGGCAAUGAUCUAUAGGGGUUCUGAGAGGAAGAUCCCCCACACUGGUACUGAGAUACGGACCAGACUCCUACGGGAGGCAGCAGUAGGGAAUAUUGGGCAAUGGAGGCAACUCUGACCCAGCCAUGCCGCGUGCAGGAAGAAGGCCUUCUGGGUUGUAAACUGCUUUUGGAAGGGAACAAAACGGCUCUGCGGAGCAACUUGAGUGUACCUUCAGAAUAAGCACCGGCUAACUCCGUGCCAGCAGCCGCGGUAAUACGGAGGGUGCAAGCGUUGUCCGGAUUUAUUGGGUUUAAAGGGUGCGUAGGCGGCUUAGUAAGUCAGGGGUGAAAGACUACAGCUUAACUGUAGCAGUGCCUUUGAUACUGCUAAGCUUGAGUACAGAUGAGGCUGGCGGAAUGGGUGGUGUAGCGGUGAAAUGCAUAGAUACCAUCCAGAACACCGAUUGCGAAGGCAGCCGGCUAAACUGUAACUGACGCUGAGGCACGAAAGCGUGGGGAUCGAACAGGAUUAGAUACCCUAGUAGUCC
rnacentral:rRNA from 1 species